rnacentral:rRNA from 1 species
AGGACGAACGCUGGCGGCGCGCUUAACACAUGCAAGUCGAGCGAGAACCGAGGCCUUCGGGCCUUGGGGAAAGCGGCGAACGGGUGAGUAACACGUGGGCAACCCACCCUUGGUACCGGGAUAGCCCGGGGAAACCCGGAUUAAUACCGGAUGGCCCAGCAGCCUCUUCGGGGCGGUUGGAAAAGGUAGCUUCGGCCUCCGACCAAGGACGGGCCCGCGGCGGAUUAGCUUGUUGGUGAGGUAACGGCUCACCAAGGCGACGAUCCGUAGCUGGUCUGAGAGGACGAUCAGCCACACUGGGACUGAGACACGGCCCAGACUCCUACGGGAGGCAGCAGUGGGGAAUCUUGCGCAAUGGGCGAAAGCCUGACGCAGCGACGCCGCGUGGGGGAAGAAGGCUUUCGGGUUGUAAACCCCUUUCAGGAAGGACGAAGCCACUCGGGUGAAUAGCCCAGAGGGUGACGGUACUUCCAGAAGAAGCCCCGGCUAACUACGUGCCAGCAGCCGC